rnacentral:misc_RNA from 1 species
GAUGAAGAACGUAGCGAAAUGCGAUAAGUAAUGUGAAUUGCAGAAUUCAGUGAAUCAUCGAAUCUUUGAACGCACAUUGCGCCCUCUGGUAUUCCGGGGGGCAUGCCUGUUCGAGCGUCAUUAUAACCACUCAAGCUCUCGCUUGGUAUUGGGGUUCGCGGUUCCGCGGCCCCUAAAAUCAGUGGCGGUGCCUGUCGGCUCUACGCGUAGUAAUACUCCUCGCGAUUGAGUCCGGUAGGUCUACUUGCCAGCAACCCCCAAUUUUUACAGGUUGACCUCGGAUCAGGUAGGGAUACCCGCUGAACUUAAGCAUAUCAAUAAGCGGGGA